UUAAACAUGGAGGUCUAUGUUGUCAUGAGUUUAUAAGUGUCCCUGACAGACUGGAGUUUCUGGCAUGUGAUGUACCACAUUUGGAACAGGAAAUUCCAAGGAUUUGCACCGCAGAAUUUACACUAUGAUGCUAUAUUCGGGGUUGUGUUUAUCUCUUCAUUAUCAUCUUGUACAUUCAUCCUGUUGAACAAGCAGGCAAAACUGUAAUUUCCAAUUAAAGCCAAGUGCUAAAACACACUGUAUAAUGACACAAGUGAGGGAGGAGAGUGCUGCAGAUCUCACAGGGCAUCAUCUCAUUAGCCUAGAAAUUACUGUUAGCAAUGUGGAUGGAUGAACACUUAAUGAGUUUGUGUGGCAUUCCCCUUGUCUGUUUUUCCAAUGGUGGUGUUAACCUAUUCAAAACAAACGAGGUAGUGCUUGUGUUCACAUUGUCAACAAAAGAAUGCCAGCAACACAUUAAGCAUUUGCCUGAAAUUGUAACUUCCAGUGAGCUGUAACACCUGAUAAAGGUCAGGCCAUUUAUCCUGUUUGCUUUCAUUUUCAUGUGAGGUUGUACCGCAAAAAAAAACUGAAUGGUUCUACAGCAAUUAGUGAAGCUUUAGAAUGUUGGUCAAUCUUUUGUCACCAAGAGGUGAGGAUCAGCGAGUUGAGCAGGAAGGGAAGUGUUUUUUAAUUUUUAAAAAAAUAACCCAAGGAACAUUUCAGCCUUAACAAAAGAUAAGUUUGCUGCUUGUGCAUUGUUUGUAAUUUUUUUUCAAGGCAAUUAUUCAUUAUACAACGUGGUACUUGCUUCUCUAAACUGAUUAAUUGAAAACCACUUUGAUUAGUUUAUGAUGCCUCCAGAGGAUAAUGGUGGUGAAUUCCAUUACACAGAGAUGUUGCUAAAUAGAGAAAUGUUACACUCUCCUGGAUUAAGAAGCAUAACAUGGUCUGCUUGUGAGGGAGCCGGAAACAAGUUGAAAGGCAAGCUUUCACUGCCUCCAAACAUUUUCCUAGUCCACAUGUUCAGACAAACAUUUCUGGAGCAGAUAAGACAUGAACCUGGCCUCCUGUCUGAACCUCAGAAGUAUGAACCCUUCCACUGUACCACACCAAUUGGAUCAGUGGUGAAUUGAAUACAGAUACUUCUUGAUUAAGGGCUUUUUGCCAGAAACGUCGAUUUUCCUGCUCCUGGUGUGCUGCCUGACCUGCUGAGCUUUUCCAGCGCCACUCUAAUCUUGAUUCUAAUCUCCAGCACCUGCAGUCCCCACUUCUGCCCACUUUGUUGUUUGACAGCAUCAGUACUUCAGAUGAAUCACUCGACUGAUACCUCCAUACAUCGAAGGAGGAAGGACACUGUCAUAAAUCCCAUGGUGAUUGAUUUCUAGCAGCAGUGGAUAUCUUGGUCAUAGAUACCUCUCCUUGAGCCGGGACUGAGAGACUGAGGAAAGGACAAAACGCCAUACAUUUCUAUUAAGAUUUUGUUCCAAAUAUUGGCACAGAAACGUUGGGGAAAGAGGCAGUUUUAAAGUAAAGGUUCAUCAUGGUUCAUUCCGGUUUAUUCCUUCAAUUUUGGGAAGUGCAGUUCUGUUGAAUAGCCGAUUUAAAAUCUUAGCACAUUGAAAAUGCUAACCUUUCACUGUUCCACUGAAGAAAUGCUGCUCAAGGCUUUGCUAGAGAUUAUAAUGUUCUUUAUUUGUUUUUAUGGUGCAGUUUUAAUCGUUCUUGACCUUCUGUUGAGUGGGGUGCCUUUAAAAAGAUUUGUACAUGAGUAGGCAAAGAUGAUUAAUAGGAAGCUAAUUGAAGAGCACUGAGUUCACCCGAACUGCGGCGUUCCAUUACGUGAACAGACACACUCAAUCUCCCUACAGCACUUCGCUCGGAUACAUCAGUAUUCUGCUCAGCUCGGAGUUAGUUAACCUUGAAUUCAGUACAAUUUCAUAGCACUUGUGUUCUGUUGAAGAAACCUCAUCACCACCUAAUCAAUAAACUGGAUUCUCAUUCAGUCUCGCAUUCUUCCAGACGUGCAGCCCACACUGAGAAUCAGCAAAGUCGGGCAUAUGACUUGAAGGGAGGAGGGAGCCAGCCAUCUCGACCACAGAAAACAGUUUCAAGGACAUUGCAAUUACGUUGGCAAAGACAAUAGGUAAUAUCACGGGGCUGUGAUCUGCUUCAAAUUGGACCUCAUUUGGGAACCUUGCUUCCAGUAGGGGGUGCUCUUAUGGGACGGCACGAACUCCGAGAUUAUCUUCAUGCUUUCAGUAAAAAGCGUGGCAAACAGCUUUGCGUUUUUUGAUGCUGCCAGACCUGCUGAACUUUUUCAGCAAUUUCUGUUUCUGUCACUGAGUACAGUCUAUUCGGAUAUAACACGAUAGUUCAUUUCUGUACGAUCCACAUUAUAAGAAAAUCACGUAAUAGCAGCACCAUUUAAACUAACGGGACUGGAAUUGCGUUAUAGCCAAUACAGGGCAACCAUGAGGAUCCACAAAAGCCACUGUUAACUGAAAUGAAAAUGUGAAGUUACCUGGUUACAGAAUUAAUUCGGCAGUAGAGGUAGGGGAAUUUGGUAUGUGCUUGAAUUGGAAGGUGGUGACUUUUGCUCUUCUGUUGCUUUUCCGAUUCACAUUUGAAGAUCAUUUCCAUUGCAUUUGCCAGCACCAUUCUCUUGGAUAAUGCACUCCAGUCCAAGUGACCCAACACAUCAAGCAAUGGUUUCCGAACUGAUCAUUUUGAUUCAGUUGCCGAUCACCUUAAGUACUUGUCCUCUGGUCUUCAACCCUUUUGCCAUUGGAAUAAUGUUUCUCUUAAUCUGCUUUGACACGAUGUAUCAUAAUUUUGAACAUUUAGAUCAAGCCUCCACUCAAUCUCCUCAUCUCUACCGAGAACAACUCUAGCCUCUUCAGGCUAUACAUGGAAUUAUGGGUCCUCAUUAAUGACCUAUUCAUCAGGUCUUUCCCUAGCAUCAGAAAACAGGGGAAGAGACACAGAAGGUGACCAGAGUCUGCACAUAAUUCAUUCCUAUUCCAAAUCUCCAGACCACAGGGCACAAGUGUCACCCAAGGCACUGUCCAGACAUCAAUUGCUAAUCACAAAUUGGCCACCUCUGCAAAAUGUGACUGGGAGAUGUGAAGUCUCAGUCCCUCCAGGGGGGAUGAAUGUGACAAUGGACCUCAAUUUCUUCAAGUUCUCUUUCUUUUCAGGCAGACAGCGGACCAUCUGCUCAUCAUGUUACGUGAGUUCUCAGUACUCUUGCUCACCAUCAGGGAGAUUAGCUCAACAAUGCAAAAGGAUCUGGGUGUCCUAGUGCAUGAAUUUCAGACUGUUAGUCUGCAAGUGAUUUGGGCAAGCUAAUAGAAUGCUAUAAUUUAUUGCCAGGGGAAUUGAAUACAAAUCUACAAAGGGCAUUUGUGUCACCAUAUCUGGAGUACUGUGCACAGUCUUAGUUUCCCUAUUGAAGGAAGGAACAUGGGAAGCAAUGCAGGGAAGGUUCAUUAGCCUAACACCUACAAUGGAUGGGUUGAAUUCUGAGAAAAAGGUUGGACAGGCAAACGUUGUGUCUGGUGCAGCUUUGAAGAGGAUGAGGAUUCUUAUUGGAACAUGUAAAGAUGUUGAGAGGUCUUGACAGGAUAAACAUAGAAAGGAUACAUUCUCUUGUAGGAGACCGUAGAACUCUUAAAAAUAGUCAUUUUUUAAACAUUAAUGGCCCUCCAUGUAACACAGAGAUGAGGAGGAAAUAUUGGACACAGAGGAUUGAGAGUCUUUGGAACUCUUCCUGUGAAUCUUUUUGAGUCAGAGCUAGAUAGAUUAACAAAGGGGUGAAUGAUGAUGGAUAAGCAGAAAUGUGGAGUAAUAAGAUCACCCAUGAUUGAACAGUG